GAUUUAUACCAAUUUACAUAGUAAAAAAGUCAGGAUUACUUGUAAUUCUCAGAAAUAAUUCUGGCACAAUUUUUAAAAGAGGAAUGUCUUAUAUAUCACUUACUGGUCUCUGAUAUGAAAACUGAUUUACAGAUACAUUUCAUAUCUUACUCAUAUGCUCAUAAAAGCAUCCACAUAUCACAAAACUUCCAUUUUCAGCACUUCAAUCUGAGAUAGUUCAUUUCUUAAAAAUCAUGGCUUUGGUUUGCCAAACUCUUUGGCUAUAGCUCAUAUUUUUUCCUCUAUCUUUCUUCCCAUUCCCCUGGUUUCUCUUUCAACAUUAUCAGCUGUAGCCAAAACAGAGGCCUGUAAAUUAAUUAGGAUAUAAUUAACAUUAGCUUGCCUUAAACCCAAAUAUAAGCAUAAUAAAUUGUGUAACCAACAACAGUAUGGAAGUAUUUUGUAACACUGAAAUGAUGUAGCCAGACACAACAUGCAGACUUUUUGUGUGAGAAAUGUGACGCUUGAAGGGGCAAAGUAACUCUUGUGUAAUUGCAUUUAGGCGGCAUGGGAAAACAUGUAAACAGCAGCCCAAGCAACAGAACAUGCCAGAUGAGGAACAAAAAACCAAGAUAAAUGUAAGGGUCUGCAAACAGGUUUUCUGCUUAUAUCUGAUAGAUCUGACAGAUGUGAUAACUGAUGAGGUACUUCCACUAAAAUGUCUUGAGAAUCCUAUCCUGAACCAUACACACUUUAAGGAUCGUGAAAGCUGAUGACUUCCAGAGUUGGAUACCCAACAAUUUUUAUUGAUAAGAAAAGAAUCUCUCUCUAGAUUUAAGUUCCAGUUACCUGAUGGACACAGACAAACACAGGACAAGCCUCGUGCAAGAGCCAGCAUUACAAAAACGGACAGCUUAUUUUGACUGUUCACACAUUCUUUGCACAGGGAUGAUACCUGCACAGAUUUGGACUAAACAGAAACAGCAGGAUAAUCACACCCAGAAGACUAAUGAAGUAAACAACUGUAAGCAUUUCAAAGACAUCAUCAAGAAGUUGCAAAGGAUAGUCAUAUGAAUAUGCUAAUGGGGAAGAACAGUAAAUGGGUUAAAGCCAAAGGUUACAGAGUGACCCAUCUGACUAAGCUAAGUCAACACAUCAGAAAAUUACUAUUAUUUGGAAUGUAGCAUUGCAUCAUAAAUC